rnacentral:misc_RNA from 1 species
UUUUUUUAAAAGAUUAGCUUUAUGGUUUUCUUGGUGGUCGCAGAAUAUCGAGUUUUUGGGGUGGACGGGGUUUUGUUUGAUUAUGGGUUUGAGCUGGAUUUUAUGCUUGAGUUUGGGUUUUGGAUUUCGUACUAGGACUUUGGUUAACAGUCGACACUUGGCCUUUUGGGUGGGUAAUUUUGUAUUUUUCUGUUAGAUUAUUCUUUGAAAUUUGGGGGAAAAUUUUGUGAGUUCUCAUGAGAUUGUUUUUAAAUUAUGAGUUUUAAUUACCAAUUUUGAGUCUUGCAGAUGGAAGAAUGUUCUGUAGUUGUAUGUGUGUGUGGUUUUUAUGCUUGAUUCUGGUUCAAAUUAUGAGGUUUUGAAUAUUUG